CUUGCCCCUAGAGGCAUUGCGGGGUGGCUGCUGUUUCACACAUGCCUCAGUAGGGGACAGAGAGGAGCGAGGCUGUGUCUAUGCUCAGUGUCUGACCUGUGAACAUCUGAACGAUUAGUAGCCCAACAUU